GACGAACGCUGGCGGCGUGCUUAACACAUGCAAGUCGAACGGUAAGGCCCUUCGGGUACGACGAGUGGCGAACGGGUGAGUAACACGUGGGUGAUCUGCCCUGCACUUCGGGAUAAGCCUGGGAAACUGGGUCUAAUACCGGAUAGGACCAUGGACUUCACGGUUUGUGGUGGAAAGCUUCUGCGGUGUGGGAUGGGCCCGCGGCCUAUCAGCUUGUUGGUGGGGUAAUGGCCUACCAAGGCGACGACGGGUAGCCGGCCUGAGAGGGUGUCCGGCCACACUGGGACUGAGAUACGGCCCAGACUCCUACGGGAGGCAGCAGUGGGGAAUAUUGCACAAUGGGCGCAAGCCUGAUGCAGCGACGCCGCGUGAGGGAUGACGGCCUU
rnacentral:rRNA from 1 species